CACGCUAUUUUUGCCAUAUUAGGCCCCCUAAAAUCGUCCCAGCAUGCUGUUCGCUAUCAACUGACGAUCCUUUAAUCCUCCUCCCCCUUUCUAUUGCCACGCAACUGUGGUGCCACACAAAUACAGAAAAGGUUGCAACACAUGGUGUAAAGGCGGGUUUCCAUGGCUUCCAUAUUGUCGAUACGACCAAUGUAUUUAAGUUCCUGUCUGCUUCGAUGAACCGGCACCCUACCGAUUACAUGGAAAACAGCCAGAAAUUAGAUAAUAGCUUUAUUAUCCUAGUACAAGUUUAUUUUCUAUGCUUUUAACAGAAAAAAAAAAUAAGUAGGGUAGAAAUUAACGCGAAGCAAAGAUCAUAAGGCGAUUACGUGCUGUCUUCGUGACAGCUUUCUAAAAAUUAAGAAUAGUGAAUUAACGAUCUCACGGAAGGCUUAUUAAAAUGCCGAAAAGCGACGAACUAUCCAGCAGAUCAUACCACAAGCCUGACCAAGAGAUCAAGAGCCCGGGUGUCAGAGUCUCGCCAAAAGCGUCCAUCUCUGGCACCAGGGGUGGUCAUCAAUAUAUACGGGGGAUGUAACUGCGCUAACAAGCUGGUUGCCGCAAAAGGGAAAACACGUGAUUCACAAACGAUUGAAACGUGAUACCCCUACUCUCUACAGUUGGAAAACGUUCUCAAAAGUCAUAAAGAUACUUCAAGUCUGGCUAAAACCAAACCUCACUUAUUUCCUACUCAAAGUUCUAGCAGAAGUGACUCUCAUCUCUUCUAAUAAAACUAAGCGUGACCUGAUAAUCCCAAACGCUAAGUGGAAAAAAGUUAUCGAGCAGAACUAAGUCAUCAAUAGAGCAGAGAUUGCGAUGCUUAAAGUAGAUGUUUAGCGCAUAGAAGACUUAAGGGAGCAACUGGGAGAAAACAGCCCUUUUCUAUCGACACACAUCAAGGCCCGCUUGACGGCGGGCGGGCCUAUCACGCUCUACAUGGCUAUGACGUAACUGGCCCUUUAUGCUCAGCAUGAAGCGUCCGCCAUAUUGGAAAGUGUGAGUCUGCGCGCAAAGCAUCAUGGAGCUGACAUCAAGGGAGUAGCCUGGGGACGAGGCUAGACCUUAAUACUGAGGGUUUUAACGUCUCUUCUGAUUGGAAAAUCCAGUCUACAGUAUCUGGCAAGAACAGAACAACAUUGACAAGACACAUGUUGAUAUUGUUGUACGAACUGUAACAAUGCUGACUCAAGUUUAUGGUGGUAAAAUGUGCUUGCGAAAUUGCCGUGCACCAGAAUACGCCAUGGUCCGUGACGAACAGGGUUGUUUGUACUAACAAACAACCACAGUCAAAUAAAAGCACUAACCAGCCAUAUGACAAAAGUAUUAACCAAUAAUGAUUCAAAGUUGCAAGAAUUGAAAGCACGGUAACAAAUGCGAUCAAAAUUCUAACCAAACACAACAUACUAACCAAUCACAGCACAUUGUAACAUACUAACCAAUUACAGCACAUUGUAACAUACUAACCAAUUACAGCACAUUGUAACAUACUAACCAAUCACAGCACAUUGUAACAUACUAACCAAUCACAGCACAUUGUAACAUACUAACCAAUCACAGCACAUUGUAACAUACUAACCAAUCACAGCACAUUGUAACAUACUAACCAAUCACAGCACAUUGUAACAUACUAACCAAUCACAGCACAUUGUAACAUACUAACCAAUCUCAGCCUAUCAUAAAUUACUAACCAAUCACAGCGUACCAUAACAUACUAAAAAAUCACAGUGUACCAUAAAAUACAAACCAAUUACGUACUAAGCCAUCACAGCAUGCUAUAACAUACUAACCAAUCACAGCGUACGCUAACCUACUUAACAAUACCUGCGUUCCAUAAUAUACUAACCAAUCACAGCGAACACUAACAUACUAAAUAAUCACAGUGUACCCUAAAAUACUAACCAAUAACAGCGUACCCUUAGAUACUAACCAAUCACAGUGCACCAUAACAUACUAACCAAUCACAGCGUACCAUAACAUACUAUCCAAUCACAUCAUAACAUAACAUGAUAACUAAUCACAGCGUCACUAACAUGCUAACUAAUCACAACGUGCUAUUACAUACUAACCAAUAACAGCGUACCCUAAUAUACUAACCAAUCACAGCGUAUAAUUACGUACUAACCAAUCACAGCGUACCAUAACAUACUAAUCAAUCACUGCUUACCAAAAAAAAUUCUAACCAAUCACAGUGUACCCUACCAUACUAACCAAUUACUGUUCACCAUAAUAUACUAACCAAUCACAGCGUACCCUAACAUACUAACCAAUCACAGCGUACUCUAACAUACUAACCAGUCACAGCGUAUAAUUACGUACUAACCAAUCACAGUAUACCAUAACAUACUAACCAAUCACAGCGUACCCUAACAUACUAACCAGUCACAGCGUAUACUUACGUACUAACCAAUCACAGUAUACCAUAACAUACUAACCAAUCACAGAGUACCCUAACAUACUAACCAGUCACAGCGUAUAAUUACGUACUAACCAAUCACAGUAUACCAUAACAUACUAACCAAUCACAGCGUACCCUAACAUACUAACCAGUCACAGCGUAUAAUUACGUACUAACCAAUCACAGUAUACCAUAACAUACUAACCAAUCACAGCGUACUCUAACAUACUAACCAGUCACAGCGUAUAAUUACGUACUGACCAAUCACAGUAUACCAUAACAUACUAACCAAUCACAGCGUACCCUAACAUACUAAUCAGUCACAGCGUAUAAUUACGUACUAACCAAUCACAGCGUACCAUAACAUACUAACCAAUCACAGUGUACCCUAACAUACAAACCAAUCACAGCUUACCCUUAUAUACUAACCAGUCACAGCGUAUAAUUACGUACUAACCAAUCACAGCUUACCCUAACAUACCAACCAAUCACAGUAUACCAUAACAUACUAACCAAUCACAGCGAACCCUAACAUACUAACCAGUCACAGCGUAUAAUUACGUACAAACCAAUCACAGUAUACCAUAACAUACUAACCAAUCACAGCGUACCCUAACAUACUAACCAGUCACAGCGUAUAAUUACGUACUAACCAAUCACAGUAUACCAUAACAUACUAACCAAUCACAGCGUACCCUAACAUACUAACCAGUCACAGCGUAUAAUUACGUACUAACCAAUCACAGUAUACCAUAACAUACUAACCAAUCACAGCGUAUAAUUGCGUACUAACCAAUCACAGCGUACCAUAACAUACUAACCAAUCACAGUGUACCCUAACAUACAAACCAAUCACAGCUUACCCUUAUAUACUAACCAGUCACAGCGUAUAAUUACGUACUAACCAAUCACAGCGUACCCUAACAUACCAACCAGUCACAGCGUACCUUAACAUACUAACCGAUCACAGCGUAUCCUAACAUACUAAGCAAGUCACUGCAUUCCAUAACAUAAUAACCAAUCACAAUGUGGCCUAUCAUUCUAACCAAUCACAGUGUACCAUGACAUACUGACCAAUCACUGCGUUCCAUAAAUUACUAACCAGUCACAGUGUACCCUAAAAUACUAACCAAUCACAGUGUACCCUAACAUAAUAACCAGUCACAGCGUACCCUAACAUACUAACCAAUCACAGAGUAUCCUAACAUACUAUAACAAAUAUCUGCGUUCAAUAAUAUACUAACCAAUCACAGCAUGCUAUAACAUAAUAACCAAUCAGAGCGUAUCCUAAUAUACUAACCAAUCACAGUGUGCCCUAAAAUUCUAACCAAUCACAAUGUAUCCUAACUUCAAAACUAAUCACAGCGUACCCUAACAUACUAACCAAUCACUGCGUACCUUAACAUAAUAACCAAUCACAGUGUACCUUAAGAUAUUAACCAAUCACAGCGUGCUAAAACAUACUAACCAAUCAUUGCGUUCCAUAAUAUACUAACCAAUGACUGCGUUCCAUAAUAUACAAACCAAUCACAGUGUACCCUAACAUACACUAACCAAUCUAUCAUGUACAAACCAAUCACAGCGUGCCUCAAAAUAGCAACGAAUAACAUACACUAGCAUACUAACCAACCACAGCCUGUCUUGACAAAUUAACCAACCAUAGCGCCUCAUAACAUACUAGCCAAUCACAACGUGCCAUACAGGGCCGUAGCAGGCGGUGGGGCACUGGGGGUACGUUACCCCCCAAUUUUUUGAAAAAUUCUAAGGAAACGACCAGUAGGGGCGUGGCUGUGCCCCCAAAAUUUUCUUAUUGUUUCUGUAUUGUGCCCCCAAAUAUUUCGAGGCCUGCUACAGCACUGCAAAUCACAGCGUACUAUAACAUACUAGCCAAUCACAACAUACCAUAUCAUACAAGCCAAUCACAACGUACCACAACAUACUAACCAAUCACAGUGAAAAAAUAGAAUACAUGGCCGUAAGUAGUUGGGGUGGAGGUAGAGAGCCUCUCCCGUGUCCCUCCCAGAAGAGUCAAAAUCUUACGAAAUACAUAAGGAAAGAGGGAGUGUCUGUCCCCUAACAAAAGGAAGGCCUGAAUGAGGCUUACAAAAUACUCUAGCUACGGCCUACGCAAACUACCUGACGCUCUUAAAGUUCCUUUUAUUCACAUGAUAAUAUCACGUUAUCAAAAUAAAGAUGUAUAUCAUAAGGACAAUCAAAA